CAAUAGCGUAUAUUAAAGUUGUUGCAGUUAAAAAGCUCGUAGUUGGAUUUCUGGUGGGAGCGAUCGGUCUGGCGCUUAGCGCGAGUACUUGCAUCGUCUCCGGCCAUCCUUGGGGAGAGUCUGUCUGGCAUUAGGUUGUCGGGCAGAGGAUCCUCAUCGUUUACUGUGAAAAAAUUAGAGUGUUCAAAGCAGGCUUAUGCCGUUGAAUAUAUUAGCAUGGAAUAAUAAGAUAGGACUUUGGUACUAUUUUGUUGGUUUGCGCAUCAAAGUAAUGAUUAAUAGGGACAGUUGGGGGUAUUCGUAUUCCGUUGUCAGAGGUGAAAUUCUUGGAUUUACGGAAGACGAACUACUGCGAAAGCAUUUACCAAGGAUGUUUUCAUUAA
rnacentral:rRNA from 1 species